rnacentral:rRNA from 1 species
GUGAGGAAUAUUGGUCAAUGGACGAGAGUCUGAACCAGCCAAGUAGCGUGCAGGAUGACGGCCCUAUGGGUUGUAAACUGCUUUUAUAUAGGGAUAAAGUGAUCUACGUGUAGAUUUUUGUAGGUACUAUAUGAAUAAGGACCGGCUAAUUCCGUGCCAGCAGCCGCGGUAAUACGGAAGGUCCAGGCGUUAUCCGGAUUUAUUGGGUUUAAAGGGAGCGCAGGCUGAUGAUUAAGCGUGACGUGAAAUGUAGCCGCUCAACGGCUGAACUGCGUCGCGAACUGGUUAUCUUGAGUGAGUUCGAUGUUGGCGGAAUUCGUGGUGUAGCGGUGAAAUGCUUAGAUAUCACGAAGAACUCCGAUUGCGAAGGCAGCCAACAAGGCCUUUACUGACGCUAAAGCUCGAAGGUGCGGGUAUCGAACAGG